AGCUUUGCUCAGUGGCAGUAUCGUAGCCAAUGAGGUUUAUCCGAGGCGCGAUUAUUGCUAAUUGAAAACUAGAAAUAUUUUAAGGUACUCACUUUUUAAGAAGAAACACUUUAAUAUUUCCUACAGUUGGUCCAACAA
ensembl:snRNA U4 U4 spliceosomal RNA